ACUCCUACGGGAGGCAGCAGUGAGGAAUAUUGGACAAUGGGCGGGAGCCUGAUCCAGCCAUGCCGCGUGCAGGAAGACUGCCCUAUGGGUUGUAAACUGCUUUUGUACAGGAAGAAACANUCCCUCGUGAGGGAGCUUUGUACGGUUACUGUAAGAAUAAGGAUCGGCUAACUCCGUGCCAGCAGCCGCGGUAAUACGGA
rnacentral:rRNA from 1 species